GAGGUUGAUGAUAUGGUUUUGUCGCCCCAGUCUUAGAUCCGGACUUCCCGUAUCUGUGCUGAUUGACAUCUUAUCGAAUCUGACUC
rfam:Zea mays cultivar B73 chromosome 5, whole genome shotgun sequence.